rnacentral:tmRNA from 1 species
GGGCUUGUUCCGACUCGCCCGAGCGACUAGAUUGGCCGUGCCGGGAAACCGGCUACGCUGGUAGAUUGCUUGGUGAAAUAGGCAUUUCGGACCCGGGGGGCAGUACCCCGGCGCCUCCACCAGCAGCGGCGCUCGGGACACGAGCGGGGGCUCUAGGGCGCCGUUGCUGAUGGGGGCGAAACAGGAUCGACGAGUGCAGUAAAGGCCUGGUUGCCAGUCGGCAUGGAACCGCCGCUAACGGUCCAUUCUCACAAGUGCCAACGAUAACGAGGCGCUCGCGAUUGCCGCGUAACUGAGUCCUAACGGACAAGGUUACAAAGCUUAAGCGCGGUCGGACCCCACCGGGCAACAGAAGGGGAUUCCAGCGGUACGGGGAGCACCGGGCAACAGAAGCUCCCCACU